AUACAUAAAAGUCUCAGACAAGAAGCAAUCUAAAUGCAAAACAAAUAUUGCAAGGUACCCUAAAACCAAAUAUACAUUACUGUAUGUUCUAAAUUCCCUAUGUGUGUUUAUAGUGGAAGGACUAUUAUUAUGAAUGUGUGCCGCUAGUUUAUGUGAGUUCCGCUAUUCCGGUUUCACUUUCAUUUUCAAUAGCCGAUUGCUCCGCCAUUUCCAUCAGGUGUUAAUGUGCGUGAUUGAAUAAAGACCACAUUUAACACUUUGUGGCCAUAACUUGUACAAUAUCCAGUCUAAUUGGAGCAAUGUUGUGCCAUCUGCUGUGAACCCUAAAAUACUUCAGAUAAAGAGUUGAACAGUG